rnacentral:rRNA from 1 species
UAGAGUUUGAUCCUGGCUCAGGACGAACGCUGGCGGCGUGCCUAACACAUGCAAGUCGAGCGGUCUGAUGUUCAAUUUAUUGAACAAAAGGCAGCGGCGGACGGGUGAGUAACACGUGGGUAAUCUGCCCUACGGACCGGGAUAACACACCGAAAGGGGUGCUAAUACCGGAUAAAGUCAUCAUAUGGCAUCAUAAGAUGAAGAAAGGAGAAAUCCGCCAAAGGAGGAGCCCGCGUCCCAUUAGUUAGUUGGCGGGGUAAAAGCCCACCAAGGCGACGAUGGGUAGCCGGCCUGAGAGGGUGAACGGCCACACUGGAACUGAGACACGGUCCAGACUCCUACGGGAGGCAGCAGUGGGGAAUAUUGCGCAAUGGGGGGAACCCUGACGCAGCAACGCCGCGUGAGCGAAGAAGGCCUUCGGGUUGUAAAGCUCAAUAGUAUGGGAAGAUAAUGACGGUACCAUACGAAAGCCCCGGCUAACUACGUGCCAGCCGCCGCGGUAAUUCA